rfam:Chitinophagaceae bacterium IBVTCB2 contig000001, whole genome shotgun sequence.
GCGAUGGCCCUUUUAAGGGCCAUCUUAUUUUUAAUAGUAUAACUAAU